rnacentral:rRNA from 1 species
UCUAUUCUUCUUGAUUUCUCAAACGCCACGGGUCUGGUGAUUAAUUUCCACAAAAGCACUUUUGCUCCGAUUCAUGUUGAUCCGUAACUUGCAUCUCAACUUGCAACUAGUUUUGGCUGCACGGUUGCAUCGUUUCCUCAAUCCUACCUUGGCCUUCCCCUCUCCACUCACAAAUUAAACCUAAAAAAUUUCUUCUUCAUCAUUGACAAGAUUGAUCGUCGUCUCGCGGGUUGGCGAGGGGUUCUCCUCACCCUAGCAGGUCGUGCUGUUUUG